rnacentral:rRNA from 1 species
UGCAGGUACUGGUUGAAUAAGGACCGGCUAAUUCCGUGCCAGCAGCCGCGGUAAUACGGAAGGUCCGAGCGUUAUCCGGAUUUAUUGGGUUUAAAGGGAGCGCAGGCGGAGAUGCAAGCCAGCCGUUAAAUAAUGGGGCUCAACCCCAUAGUGCGGUUGGAACUGCAUCCCUUGAGUGCACUAGAGGACGGUGGAACUCGUGGUGUAGCGGUGAAAUGCAUAGAUAUCACGAAGAACUCCGAUUGCGAAGGCAGCCGUCUGGGGUGUUACUGACGCUCAUGCUCGAAGGCGCGGGUAUCAAACAGGAUUAGAUACCCUG